rnacentral:misc_RNA from 1 species
GAUGAAGAACGUAGUGAAAUGCGAUAAGUAGUGUGAAUUGCAGAAUUCAGUGAAUCAUCGAAUCUUUGAACACCCAUUGCGCCCCUCGGUAUUCCGUGGGGCAUGCCUGUUCGAGCGUCAUUUACCCCUCAAGCACUGCUUGGUGUUGGGCGUCUGUCCCGCUUCGCGCGCGGACUCGCCCCAAAGGUAUUGGCAGCGGUCGUGCCAGCUUCUCGCGCAGCACAUUGCGCUUCUCGAGGCGGUCGAUCGGCGUCCACGAAGCUCACCUCCACCGUUUGACCUCGGAUCAGGUAGGGAUACCCGCUGAACUUAAGCAUAUCAAUAAGCGGAGGA